rnacentral:lncRNA from 1 species
GACUUUGCAACCAUUGACAACAGGCUCUUUGAUGCCCACAACUUCACUUUUGAGAUCAGCAAACAUCAUCUCUCAUAUUCUAAAUCAAGUGUCAUGGUGAAAGAGUGUGGAAUAUGCCCUCUCUUUGAAAAUCUGAUUUUAAAAUAACAUCGGAGAACCGAGAGGGAGCAAACCUGCAUAAUAAUCAAGUUUUGUUUGGAAACAAACAAGAUGUGUGGCUACAGGUAUAUGCAACAUGUCCUUUGGUUAUAAAUUUUCCAACCACCAAUACUUUUCAUUUUCAUGGAGAAAACUGAGUCAUCAUUGAGGCUGCUACUUUUAUUUCAAACCAUGGUUUAUAAAUGUUGUAGUAGUUUAGUGUUAACUGCGGUUUGACAGUUACUAAUUUGAACACCUAUGGCUCCAAGUCUUCAAGUUUUAAUUUAUUGAGUUGUUGAAUGGAACGCAAAGAAAGCAUCAGAAGACGUCCUUUUCAGAUUUAUUUUUCCUUUUUUUCAGACAUCCUUAACCAAUGUUUUAGAAUCCAAACCGGGGGUUGAACCGGUGUGACCUCCGGGUCAUGGUUCAACUGGCCGGACCGGUUAAACUGCUGUUAAGCUGGUUGAACCGAAUACUAAAUAAAUAAAUAAUACACCAAUGCUGGA